UACGUAGGGGGCAAGCGUUGUCCGGAAUCAUUGGGCGUAAAGAGCGUGUAGGCGGCCAGAAAAGUCCGCUGUGAAAACUCGAGGCUCAACUUCGAGCUGUCGGUGGAAACUUUCUGGCUAGAGUCCGGAAGAGGAGAAUGGAAUUCCUGGUGUAGCGGUGAAAUGCGCAGAUAUCAGGAGGAACACCGGUGGCGAAGGCGGAUCUCUGGGCCUGUCCUGACGCUGAGGUGCGAAAGCGUGGGGAGCGAACAGG
rnacentral:rRNA from 1 species